rnacentral:rRNA from 1 species
CCUAAAGCAUCCGUAGCCGGCCCCAUAAGUCCUCCGUUAAAUCCAACGGCUCAACCGUUGGGCUGCGGAGGAUACUGUGGGGCUAGGGGGCGGGAGAGGCGGACGGUAUUCCCCGGGUAGGGGUAAAAUCCGCUGAUCCGGGGAGGACCACCAGUGGCGAAGGCGGUCCGCCAGAACGCGCCCGACGGUGAGGGAUGAAAGCUGGGGGAGCGAACCGGAUUAGAUACCCGGGUAGUCCCAGCUGUAAACGAUGCGGGCUAGGUGAUGGAGCGGCUACGUGCCGUUCCAGUGCCGCAGGGAAGCCGUUAAGCCCGCCGCCUGGGGAGUACGGCCGCAAGGCUGAAACUUAAAGGAAUUGGCGGGGGGGCACCACAAGGGCUGAAGCCUGCGGUUUAAUUGGAGUCAACGCCGGGAACCUUACCGGGGGAGACAGCAGGAUGAAGGUCAAGCUGAAGACUUUACCAGACGAGCUGAGAGGAGGUGCAUGGCCGUCGCCAGCUCGUGCCGUGAGGCGUCCUGUUAAGUCAGGCAACGAGCGAGACCCCCGCCGCUAAUUGCUACCACCAACCGAAAGGUUGGUGGGGCUAGUUAGCGGGACUGCCGCCGUUGAGGCGGAGGAAGGAGGGGGCUACGGCAGGUCAGUAUGCCCCGAAACCCCCGGGCCACACGCGGGCUGCAAUGGUAGGGACAAUGGGUUCCGACCUCGAGAGAGGGAGGUAAUCCCCAAACCCUACCCCAGUUAUGACUGAGGGCUGCAACCCGCCCUCACGAAUC